GUGAAGGAAAGGGGCUGACGGAGGAGACUGCGGAGUUCAAGUUCCAGCCCCCCUCCCCCCCAUGUACGAGGAAAGCGGGCGGAACCGCCCAGAUCGGGGCUCCUCGGGCGUCAGGAGGCGCGAGAAGCGACGGCUCGGGCUCCCCCAGCUGAGCGCGGCGGACGACCCUGCCCGCCGUGCGCUGAGGGGCGGGCGGAACGUGAGCCCCGCGGGCCGGGGGAGCUGCGCCCCGGCCCUUCCCCCCUCCUUUUCUUUCCCCUCUCCACUCGGGCGAGCCCCAUUUCCAUUUCCUCGAAGCGGCAGCCGAGGGCGCUGCUCGGGGCCGGGCGGGAGAGGGAGCGGCAGGAGCCAGCGCCGGUAGCGCCUUGUUCUCUGCAGCCAGGCCAGAGAGGGCUGCGCGCCCCGCGCCCCCCGCCCGGGCUCACCUCCUCGAUGGCCGCCACCGUGUUCCUGCACUGGGCCAUCCGGGUGGUGAAGUUGGAGGCGGAAUAAGAGCUAUCAGAGGAGGUGCUUUGUUCUUCAAUAUAAUACACAAGGAUCACUCAAGGCAAAAAGGGGUGAAACUCAGCCGGAGCUGUGGCGUUUGUGACUGAUGCAGCAGAAGGGACACUGGCAAAGUGUCGCUGAACGAGCAUGGUGUGGCUUGCAUUGGGAAUACAGGGAUGUGAUCCAUGGCAGGGGUUUCUUUUGGCCUCAAAGCCCUUAGGACUUCUAGCUGAUUCCUGCAGAAAGCUUCAGAAGCCUGUAUUUUGGCCCAGAAGCUCUCCUGUGGCUCUUUCACUCCCCUCUGGUGAUAGUUAUUAGCUUUCUAUAAGUGAUUCUUUAUUACUCUGUUUUAAAACUCUUCAGGGAAUUCAGAUGAGUAAGCAGGUACUCUUUUGCUGCCGUUUGUAAAAUGUCCAAAUAAAUAACUGUAAGCCUGCCCAGAUGUUACUGCCCUUUGCAACCCUUGCUAGAUCCUUUAGCAUAAAUAAUAAAGCUUGUCAGCCAUAUUUAUUUUCCUGGUUGUAGUAAAUCAGAUGAAUGAAUGCAGGGUCUAUCUCCAUGUUCUUUCAGUUUUUUAACUCUUAGUAGUUUUUCCAUCCUAAUCAUUCCUUAUUUUCUCCAAUGAAAGUCACCACUGUUGUUUUGCUUUUAACUUCAGUGCCGCUCUCCUUGUUAAUACUUAUGUGUGAUCAGUUAUUACAGCAUAUAAAGGUACAUAUUGUUCUGCUGCUAAUAGAUUAAAUUUCUUGUCUGUAUUUGUAUGUCACAUAAUAAAUAUAGUUGAGUAGAAAUAUUAAUUCUUGCUAAAAAUGUGUGAUCUUACAUUUUCAUUUUUGCAUUAGCUGAUGGUAGUACUUUUAAAGCAGCACUUAUCACACUAUUACCCAAACUUAGUAAACACUAGCAUUCUUAAACUGCCUACCAUAUCUUCCAGUGUAGCAUAUUUAUUUUGAUAUUUUGAAGGGGAUCUGAAAGGCAAAUACUCCUAGACUUUGACUUUCUGCAGCAGCUCUUCUAUCAGAUAUAGUGCAAAUCUGCAACAUAAUAAUUCAGCCUCUAGAGGUUGCAUCCACAGUUUGAUAUUGGAGUAUAUGCAACUGAGAUGGUGUCAUGGUUUAACUCCAGUCCAGUACAAAGCAACAAAAUAUCACACAGACACUCAUCACUGCUGCUCUGCCCAGUGGAAAGGAGAAGUAAAAAAUAAAGGAAAAACCAUGUGGGUUGAGCUAAGAACAGUUUAAUAAUGGAAACAAAAUAUUAUAAUAAUGAUUCUAAUAGUAAUUUUCUUGAGCAGAAGAGAGAGAAAGGACAAAAACUGAAGAUGAACAAGCAGUACACAGGGCAGUGCUCACCAGCUGCUGGCCAAUACCUGUGCCAUCACUGUGCAGUGGGUGAUGCCCCCAGCCAACCCCAGUUUAUUUGCUGAACAUAACAUUCAGUGGUCCAGAAUAUCCCCUUGGCUUGCUCAGAUCAGCUGUCCCAGUUAUGCUCUUUCCUGGCUUCUCGUGCACCUGCUUGCAGGCAGGGCAUGGGAAAAUGGAAAGUCCUUGAUUUAGAGUAAGCACUACUUGGCAACAACUAGAUUGGUGUGCUAUCAGCAUUAUUCUCAUACUAAAUUCCAAACACAGGAUUGUGCCACCUGUGAAGAAGGAGAUUAACUCUGUCCCAGCUGAAAACAGGACAGACAGUACCAUCAUGCAAUGAGUCUUUGAAUUCUACAGAUUCUAUUUUGUACAGCAGGUAUUGAAGUGGAAUGCCUUGAUAAUGAGACAGCUGUGAACAAAGCUUGCUUGUGCAGAAUGGGGUACUACUAUUUUGUAUUCCUGCUUGCUUCCUCACCACGGCUCCUCCUGUUCUGAUUUUGGACCCUCCCUCAAUAAAAUGUCACUACCUUCUUUGACCCAGUCACUCAGAGAUCUUCUACUAAAGAGAAAUAGAAAUAAAUACAAAUAUUUUCCAAAGAUUCAUGCUCUGCACAUUUCUGAAAAGUUUCUAAUCUACUAGAUACACACUGACUACAGCUCCAUUAGUCAGAAUACUUGAUUUAUACAAACAUUUCUCCCAACACUUACUUCAAAACAGCAUUAAUGGUUACAUCAGUCAGUGUUGUUAAAAACAUGUCAUCUUCAAAAUAGUAAGACAGAUUUAAAAAUAACUAAUUUUCUUAUGUUUUUGUUUAUUUGUACGGUUGGUUUUGAGCCUUUAGAAGUCUUAUCUGCAUGUCAAAAUCUUUAUUUGCAUCACUGCUAGUGAGAACUCAAACUGAGGACCAGGUGCUAUAGAAACAGAACAAUAAGGCAGCCUCUGGAGAUCCUGAUAUUUAAAAUUAGCUAAUAAAAGACAAUUUAGAGUUAAUAUAAGGAAAUACUGGACCAUUAUUAGUCUGUAUUAUAGUCCAUGAUCUUCACACACUGCUGCCCAAAUGUUUCUUUAGACAUUUUAAGUAGGAUUUUCAAGAAGGAUUAUGUGAUAGAUUGGUGUGUUUAAGGGGGAAUUAUUGCAAGAAUAAGGGUCAACAUGAAAGAAAGCACAAAAGACUUUGUGUCCUUGAAAUUUAACAUGUCAGAGUUGGAGGUAAAUGUCAUGGAUCAGAGGAAAAAUUAAUGUCUGUUUAAUGAGAGGACAUGCUAAUGGACUUUUGAAAAUAGCAGGGAAAGAACAUGAUGAUCUGGUUAGAAUAUGAUGAUCCCUCAAGCAUAGGGUGCCUAGGAUUGGACCCAAAAUGUAUAAAGUUUAUUUUUAGCCCACAGCAGUUGUGUCAUUAUUGCCCUCCACUAACCAGCUCCAUGACAGAUUGUUUCUGUUUGCUCUAUUUUUAUUUUAUGUCAAUGGUUUUUCACAGAAUUUCUUUCUUUAGAUAGUUUGGGGAAAUACUUUUUAUUUGCCUUCUUUGUGUGUACUCAGUACUUACAAUGAAUCUGAGGUAUAUUUGUUAAUUCUAUUAAGGGUGUUUUGAGGGAACACAACAAGAAGAUGGUUCAUAGAAAAUCUCAUUAGCGUCAUCACUUAUCUUUGAACUUUAAAAAUAAGCAUGCAAAUAAAUGUAGUCUGGCAGUUGCUAAUUACUGGGUGACAAUUCUCAGGCAGGUGGGUGUUAAACUCAGGAAAUUUCUAUAGUAUAUAGAAUUCAUAGCAGAUUAGUAAAACACUUUGUGGUGAGCCUUAUUAGUGGAUUCUGUCAUUUCAUCCCAAUUCUUACAUUCUUUCCAUGAAGUAUCAAUCCCUGACGUUGAUUGCUCAGAAACACUUUCAAAACAGGUUCCACUUUUGAAUAUUUGUUACCACAGUU